AGGCCAUCCCUGGAUAAAGUGGAGGGACUUGCCUGGGGUCCCAAGAUUUUGCUGUGAGAGAUCCAUCCAUUUGGAGGAGUCAGCUGCUUCCUGAACUUCAGGCCUUGAGGCAGGAGACAGCGUGUACCAUCUCCUGCCAUUCUGUUGAUAAACCUGGGAUGACUACGCCACACCCUGACAUUACAGCAUCUUGUUUUAUCUCCCUGAGAGUGCUACCAGCAAUGCCACCUCCAAGUGUAGCUGUUUCAGGUGUGGACCCUAACACUGGAUUCGUGUACCCAGCUCUGAUGCUGUCAUCCCUCUUGUGGAGUGAGUAAAAGGACUUUCCUUUGUUAUGGGAUGCUGGAUGCUGUAUGCUGUGGUUAGUUGCACUGGGACUUUGUAAUUUGAAGGCUCUGUUGCAGCUGUGUGUUCCUAGUGGUUUCAAGGUGCAUCUCCUUUAACUAUCCAGGCAAUAAUGGUUCCAAGAGGUGACAAGGACAAAGAACACUUCCUCCUUCUGAUUUAUGCUCAUUUGAUGAAUGUCUCAUUGCAAAACCGUCCAGGCUCCAAAAAUAUUUUCCAGUUCUUAUUCUUAGAUUUUAAAACUUUUUCAGUGG